rnacentral:rRNA from 1 species
AAACUCACCAGGUCAGGACACGGUAAGGAUUGACGGACUGAAGGCUCUUUCUCGAUUCCGUGGAAAGUGGUGCAUGGCCGUUUUGGUUGGUGGAUCGAUCCGUCUGGUUAAUUCCGUUAACGAACGAGACCUCGGCACUCCGAAUAGCGCGGCGGACGUCGCGGCCUCCGGGCCGUCUUCCGCACGAGCUUCUUAGAGGGACCGUCCCCCGCCGGGGAAGGAGGUGCGAGGCAACGACAGGUCUGUGAUGCCCUUAGAUGUUCUGGGCCGCACGCGCAUUACACUGACGCGUCCAACGGGUGACUCCCGACCCGAAGGGGCCGGGGAAUCCGCAAGGCGCGUCGUGAUGGGGAUUGAACGUUGCAAUUGUUGUUCACGAACGAGGAAUUCCUAGUAGGCGCGGGUCAUCAACCCGCGCCGAUUACGUCCCUGCCCUUUGUACAC